AUUGAACGCUGGCGGCAGGCCUAACACAUGCAAGUCGAGCGAGCGGCGGACGGGUGAGUAAUGUAUGGGGACUGCCCGGUAGAGGGGGAUAACUACUGGAAACGGUAGCUAAUACCGCAUACUAUCGGAUAACCCAUAUGGGAUUAGCUAGUAGGUGAGGUAAUGGCUCACCUAGGCGACGAUCCCGAGCUGGUAUGAGAGGAUGAUCAGCCAUAUUGGGACUGAGACACGGCCCAGAGUCCUAGGGAGGCAGCAGUGGGGAAUAUUGCACACUGGGCGCAAGCCGGAUGCAGCCAUGCCGAGUGUAUGAAGAAGGCAUUAGGGUUGUAAAGUACUUUCAGGCGGGAGGCGUUACCUACAGAAGAAGCACCGGCUAACUCCGUGCCAGCAGCCGCGGUAAUAC
rnacentral:rRNA from 1 species